GAGUAAUGUCUGGGAAACUGCCUGAUGGAGGGGGAUAACUACUGGAAACGGUGGCUAAUACCGCAUAACGUCGCAAGACCAAAGAGGGGGACCUUCGGGCCUCUUGCCAUCAGAUGUGCCCAGAUGGGAUUAGCUUGUUGGUGAGGUAACGGCUCACCAAGGCGACGAUCCCUAGCUGGUCUGAGAGGAUGACCAGCCACACUGGAACUGAGACACGGUCCAGACUCCUACGGGAGGCAGCAGUGGGGAAUAUUGCACAAUGGGCGCAAGCCUGAUGCAGCCAUGCCGCGUGUAUGAAGAAGGCCUUCGGGUUGUAAAGUACUUUCAGCGGGGAGGAAGGUGUUGUGGUUAAUAACCACAGCAAUUGACGUUACCCGCAGAAGAAGCACCGGCUAACUCCGUGCCAGCAGCCGCGGUAAUACGGAGGGUGCAAGCGUUAAUCGGAAUUACUGGGCGUAAAGCGCACGCAGGCGGUCUGUCAAGUCGGAUGUGAAAUCCCCGGGCUCAACCUGGGAACUGCAUUCGAAACUGGCAGGCUUGAGUCUUGUAGAGGGGGGU
rnacentral:rRNA from 2 species